rnacentral:rRNA from 1 species
UACGAAGGGGGCUAGCGUUGCUCGGAAUCACUGGGCGUAAAGGGUGCGUAGGCGGGUCUUUAAGUCAGGGGUGAAAUCCUGGAGCUCAACUCCAGAACUGCCUUUGAUACUGGCGAUCUUGAGUCCGGGAGAGGUGAGUGGAACUGCGAGUGUAGAGGUGAAAUUCGUAGAUAUUCGCAAGAACACCAGUGGCGAAGGCGGACUUCCUGGACCUGUUCUGACACUGAGGAGCGAAAGCGUGGGGAGCGAUCCGG